AGUCCACAAUGAGUCAGUAUCCAGGAAGUAGAGGCGGGAAUGGAAAAGGAAGAUUCCAAGAAUUUUCAAAAACACAAGAAAAGAGCUUUGGACUUCCACAGGCCAUGGACUGGGGAGAGGUAUAAGCCGAUAUAAAUCCAUCUUUUGGGGCUUUGAUUUUAGCCAGACCCUAUCUCCCAUCAUCAGCUGCAAGACGACAGUUCCAAACACAUGCCUAUAAUUGUCCUCGGCGUUGGCUUCCUUCUCGAGGACUUGGGUACUGUUCUUCAUGAGCCCUAAUUUUACAGCAUGUUGGAACGGCUCAACGUUGAAGCCAAAGUGGUACGUGCCAGGUGAACAUCCUCACGGUAAGAUUGAAGUGGUACAUGCCAGGUGAACAUCAUCCCCGUGGUAAGAUUGAAGUAGUACAUGGCAGGUGAACAUCCCUGUGGAAAGAUUGAAGUGGUACAUGCCAGGUGAACAUCCCCGUGGUAACAUUGAAGUGGUACAUGCCAGGUGAACAUCCCCGUGGUAAGAUUGAAGUGGUAGGUGCAGAUGAACAUCCCCGUGGUAAGAUUAAGGUGGUACGUGCCAGGUGAACAUCCCUGUGGUAAGAU
rnacentral:lncRNA from 1 species